rnacentral:lncRNA from 1 species
AAGAGAAUAAAAGCAGCCUGCCAGAAGGCGCAUUGGCAACCUGCUGGGGUCUCCUUCCGCAUUGUGGCUGCUUUGUUCUUUCGCUCUUUGCAGUAAAUCUUGCUACUGCUCAGUCUUUGGGUCCACGCUGCUUUUAUGAGCUGUAACACUCACCGCGAAGAUCUGCAGUUUCACUCCUGAACCCAGCAAGACCACGAGCCCACCGGGAGAAACAAACAACUCCAGACGUGCUACCUUAAGAGCUGUAACACUCACCGUGAAGGUCUGCAGCUUCACUCCUGGAGCCAGUGAGCCCACGAGCCCACCGGGAGGAACGAAAGACUCCAGACGCGCUGCCUUAAGGGCUGUAACACUAACCGUGAAGGUCUGUAGCUUCACUCCUCAGCCAGCGAGACCACGAACCCACCAGAAGGAAGAAACUCCAAACACAUCUGAACAUCAGAAGGGGCAGACUCCAGACGCGCCACCUUAAGAGCUGUAACACUCACCGCGAGGGUCCGUGGCUUCAUUCUUGAAGUCAGUGAGAGCAAGAACCCACCAAUUCCGGACACACUUCCACAUCUUCAGGUUUGUCAGGAAGACCUGCUUGGGACCCCUCUCUGCAGCAGAGAGCUUUUCUCUUUCUUUCGCCUAUUAAACCUCCGCUCUUGGCCAGGCACAGUGGCUCAUGCCUGUAAUCCCAGCACUUUGGGAGGCCAAGGAGGGCAGAUCAUGAGGUUAGGAGUUCGAGACCAGGUUGGCCAAUAUGGUGAGACCCUGUCUCUACUAAAAAAACAAAACUUACCCUGGCGUGGGGGUGUGCGCCUGUAAUCCCAGCUACUCGGGAGCCUGAGGCAGGAGAAUCACUGGAACCUGGGAGGCAGAGGUUGCAGUGAGCCAAGAUCGUGCCACUGCACUCCAGCCCGGGUGACAGAGCAAGACUCUGUCAAAAAGAAAAAAAAGGCCAAGCGCAGUGGCUCACGCCUGUAAUCCCAGCACUUUGGGAGGCUGAGUUGGGUGGAUCACCUGAGGUCAGGAGUUCAAGACCAGCCUGGCCAACAUGAUGCAACACCACCUCUACUAAAAAUACAAAAAUUAGCUGAGCGUAGUGGCGUGCGCCUGUAGUCCCAGCUACUUGGGAAGCUGAGGCAGGGGAAUCGCUUGAACCCGGGAGGUGGAGGUUGCAGUGAGCCGAUCACGCCUCUGGACUCCAGCCUGGGAGACAGAGCAAGACUCCGUCACAGAAAAAAAAUAAAGAAAAAGAAAAGAAAACCUCACUGUUAACCUCAAAAAAGAUUUGUCUUUCAUUAUGUCCCUAAAUACACACAUCAGUUACUUGUAGCAUGCAUAUUCCCAUUUCAAUGCUCUAUUCACAAAUAAACGUCUUUUCCUUUAGAAAGCAUGUUUCUGUUUUUUAUUUAAGUUGACAUAUAUGGUGUCGGAAGUGAGAUCUGAACAGUAUCACUACAGGAAGGAAUCAGCA